UACGAGGUGUGCGAGCGUUGUUCGGAAUCACUGGGCAUAAAGGGUUCGUAGGCGGUUUUGUAAGUUGGUUGUGAAAUCCCUCGGCUUAACCGGGGAAUUGCUGCCACUACUGCAAGACUUGAGUGCGAAAGGGGCAACUGGAAUUCCAGGUGUAGCGGUGGAAUGCGUAGAUAUCUGGGAGAACGCCAAAGGCGAAGGCAGGUUGCUGGGUCGUAACUGACGCUGAUGAACGAAAGCUAGGGGAG
rnacentral:rRNA from 1 species